CGGCGAGCGGAGCGGAGCCGAGCGGCUGGAGGCCCCGCAGACCGGGCUGGGGGCGCAUUGCCCGCCGGGCACGAGAAACAUCGAGCCGGCGGGACACGGGUUGGAGAGGCGCGACGGCGCUUCCCGGAGGCUGCCGGGAUUUGUAGUCCGGGGUGUCGCGGAGCCCCGCCCCGCAGGAGCCAGACAAGAGCGGCCCUUGUGCUGCCACCCCCAGCCCUCCCCUGCCGGGCACCUGCAGGGAGGCGCGGCGGCGCUGCUGCUGCUUUGGCCGGGCCAGCCGGGAGGAAGCAUCUGGUCCCAAUUGGGAGCCCCGGCCCCGCCCGGCCCGCCCAGCCCAGCUGCCCUAAGCCGCAGCAACACCGGCCCGGCCCCAAGCCUGCGCUCGCCGCUUCCUCCCCGACGCGCCCCGCACAAAGAGCCUCCUGUUUCGCUUUCUCUCUCUCUCUCUCUUGCGCGCGCCCCCGCAGCUGCCUCUCGGCUCCCCACCUCCGCCGCUCCCGCGCCCUGCCUGCAGCGGCUCCGGGCCGGCCUUCCUCCGAGCUGCCCCCUGGCCUCCCUCCGCCGGACGCGAGUCCCCCUGCGGAGCAUCAGGAGUCGAGUCCCCCUCAAGGUGCCUGCCGCUGCUGCUGCUGCCCAGCUCGCCACUGAGACGAAGAACUGAGACUUUUUACUCGCAGGAAAAAAAAAAUGCUGGGCUAAAAGCAGGAGAAACAGCACCAUCACUUCAGUCUACUUCUACAAGGAGUGUAAAGUCUAAUGCAUGAUUUAGAUUUGGGAAGAAAAAAUCGAUCUGUUGAGCACAGAAAAAUAAAAGGGCUGCAAAUCAUCCGAUACCCACUGAAAUGAUUGUACUCCCCACCCUUGCCAAUGGCAUCUUUGACGUUUAGAAUCCGGACUUGUCGUUGGCGCUUCUGCCGUGACUGCUCCACGAAAGGAGCUGGAGAAGGUUCAUGCAUUGGGGUUGUUCCUCAUAAGCUCUAUGUCUGCCUCCACCAUCUCCUUCACCAGUUUCUGCCAGACAGAAAGAGGACAAAGGACACAUGUUAGGCCUGCUCCAUUUACAACCUCCGUUAUCAAUUUCUAUCUAAUUGACAGGCUGAUUUAAAACAUUGGAGUGCUUUUUGCCCGGACUGUUUAUUGUGCUCUGCAGGCACAACAGACCCAACUUACCCCAAGAUGGAAAGGCGAGGUGGCCUGUCUCAGGUGGCUGACUUUGUGGUCGGGCAGCAAAUUGCCCAUUUAGAUAAACUGUAUAGGUUACAAUAGGGAAGAUGCUAGUUGUUUUUUGGUUUUGGUUCCCUGAGCCUUUGGGGGAGGGCGGUAUAUAAAUAUAAAAAAUAAAUUAAAAAAUCAAAUAAAAAACGUAUGGUUGUUUCUGGCACCGUGAAUGUAUAUUUGGCGGUUAAUUUGUUUUCUUUUCCUACUAAGAAUUGUGGGUUGUUCCCAACGUACCAUGAGUAGCACUUUUUGCCACAUUGGCCCCUGCUUCAGGGGACCUCCAGGAACACUGCUGGCCAUGAUGUAUACAUGGGGGGAGGGAUUUGAAGUAGGAAGACUCAGCAAAAAUUACCACCACCCCCUCCAUGGAUAAGAACAUAAGAACAAGCCAGCUGGAUCAGACCAGAGUCCAUCUAGUCCAGCUCUCUGCUACUCGCAGUGGCCCACCAAGUGCCAUUGGGAGCUCACAUGCAGGAUGUGAAAGCAAUGGCCUUCUGCGGCUGUUGCUCCUGAUCACCUGGUCUGUCUUUUUGCAGGAACAAAUUUGGGUAGAUUGGGCCAAUUGCAGUUCUCUCAGAACUCUCUCUGCCUCGGCUACUUCACAAGUUCUAGCUGUGGGAGAGAUGGCAAUUGUAAGCCUUUUAAAGAAUCCUUACAGUAGAGAAAAGGAGGCACAAAAAGCAACUUUUUCUUCUCCUUUGACAUGUUGCAUUCUCCCAGUGCACAAAUUCUGUUCUUAGAAUAAAGUGGUUACCUUCUCUCAGCUCGUUUAUUAAUUGUUGUGGUGAUAGUUGUAAUGUACUUUUGCAAGAUUCACCAGCCUUUAAUGUACACUGCAUAUAACACAACCGACAACUUCUCUCUUCCCCAAUGCCAGCAUCGUUUUGUAAAAGAGCUGUUACAUGUUUUGAACUUCUUAACGACAGGUAGCUUAAACAUAUGGAGCUAAGGUAUGUAACUCUGUUGGGAAUUGCAUUGCAGAUCACUUAAAACUGGCUGGAUUUUGUCUGUACUUAGAAAUAAGCACCAUUAAAAUCAACAUAUCUUGUGUGUAAAUACAUUAAUGAUGGAGUGGAAGUAAGCAGUCUGAAUCAGGUUUAUAUGGGAGCAAGGUGUACUGUUUGUUGGGCUUCAUAAAAUAAGCUUAUUUACAUCCCGUGGGAAAAUGCUAAAAUCUUGUUUCCUGUAGAUAGUUCUUGGAUAGUUUACACUUAAACAGAGUAAAUGUCUGGCAACCGCAGUGGCAGUUUGCAUGUCUUCGCUAUACAGAAGUUCCUGAAUUUUGAAAAUAAAAAAUUUAAGGAUUUU